AGAUGGCUGAGUGGAGGACAGAGUCACUGGACUGCCCUGGAGUGGCAGCUACAGCCUGGAACUGCAUAUGGGAUUUGGUCUGGGGUAGCGCUGUGAGACUGGCCUCUGCAGCUCUGGAGUCCUCUUUCCCAAGCAUCUGUACAAAGCGUGCUGAGGGCUGCUGCUGGGCCCUUCCAACAGGAGGCAUCACCAUGCGUCCUUGUCCACCUCAUCCCCUGGAUCUGAUGCCUCACAACUUUCAGCUCCUCCCCACGUUCUAUGACACCUCAAAAGGGAGACGUUUUGAAUGGAUUCAGGACAUCGUUGCAGCCAGGACAGCACAGCUAAAGACACUCAGGGAAAAGGACUCCAGAGCUGCUGCAGAAAGAGGCCAGAACUUGGGACAACGAUCUUCAAAGUGAGGAACUGGAAUCUCGUCCUCGAAGCCUCAAGGCAUUCAGGGCUGCACGGGUCUGAGCAUGGUGCUGCUGCUGCUGCUGCUGCUAUGAACAUGGCUGGAAAUCUGACAGGCGGAAGGCGUCCAGCAGAGAACCCGAAUGAAAGUCAUCUACUCCAAUUGCUCCGGGUUUCUGAGAGCAGAGAGGGACCAGAGGAACCUGAGAUCAAAGCCCUGCAUUACAAGCAGCUCUGGCUGGACAACCCUGAGAGGGCCCUAGUUGCUCUGGGCUCUGCCAUUUGUUCCUGAGAGUGUGGACCAGUGGGGCUUUGUGAUCACUCACGUGACUGAAUUAUUAGCAGCUACGCAUUGCCUGUCCACUCCUGCCAGGCUGGGGGACAAUUGUGGAACAUAAACAUCUCCUGCUCUCCGCCCUCCUGCAGAGGGGGGCGUGAGAAAAGUCUAUGAGCCGGGAACCCCCCCCCCCCCCGCCCAGGGUACCCAGACAGGCCUGCUAGGCGCUGUCAGGUCAGGAUGUGCAGAAGACCAACUCUACCUAGGCCCUGCUUGCACAGUGACUCAGCCCAGACAGGACAUAGAUUCCCAGUGGUCUGCCAGCUCUCUGUCAUCCUGGGCUGUCCACAGGGCAGUACAGGCACUGAGCCCCGAGGCCUGGCCAAGUCGCAGGCAGGAAAUGCACCUGGUCUCUGGGCCGACACCCCUGUGCCACCUUUUCGUCCCCACACCAGGUCAUCUUGUAUUCUCGUCAUAUCUCCCCAGCCCUGAUUCAGCAUGGCCUCCAUAGACCCCCUGUGGCCCUUGGUGAGGUCUAGAGAUGCCCAGCCAUGCUCUGCUGCAGUGCCCAAAGCUGUGGUCCUGGUCUGGUCUCCCCAUAGGCAGGAGCCCAGACAGAUGGGCUGGAGCACAGGCAGGUCAUGCAGUGAAGCAGGCUGGGACCUUCACGACCCAGCCUGAGGCCCAAACCUGGGAGGCAGAGAAUGAGAUGCUGGCACAGGGCAGGGGGUCCAUUGGUGCAGGCCAGGCUGAAUAUAGGGUCCAGAUGAGACUGCUGUGGGUCAUGGCCUGAGAGCCCUGAAGGUGUCCCCUGCCUUGAUGUUAGAUGGGACCUCAAAAGACUGCCCUUGAGGCGCUGUGAGGAUUCUAAAGAAUCCUGCCCCAAGGGCAUUGUGCCCAGCGCCAGUAGGGAGGCUGAGGCAGUCCAGACUUUCCCUGAUCCGAGAUACUCAGAGCUAGAAUGUUCCUACUGAUUGGGAUUUUGGAGGAUGUUAACACAUGUAUCUCUGGGGCCUGGUCACUGAAAUUUUAUGUUCCUCUUCUUCUUUUUUUAAUUUGGUCUUUGGUUUCACUAUGUAGUCCAAGUUGGCCUUGAACUCACUAUGUAGUCCAGGCUAGCCUCAAACUCAAAGCAAUCCUCCUGCCUCAGCCUCCUGGGAUCGCAGGUGUAUGGCCCCACCCCCACUUAUAUAUGCCUUAUGCAUAGGGAAGGGAAUUUUAUACAAUAAAAUUUAUUGAAGGGAAGGCAAAUAUAUUACAGGGAAUUUUAUAUAAUACUUCUGCAUCCCGUGUUGGCUGAAAACCAUCACCCGAUGUAGGGUGUGGAAUUUUCUAUUCAUUGGGUUUUAGAUUCACAUCUUGGGGUGCUGAGCUACUCUGCCUGGAUCUGUCAGCAUAGAACCACCAGCUCUCUCUUCCCCAGGAGUACCACAGCUGUGGGCUGCUCCACUGUGGUCCCUCAUAACAACCUAGGACCUGGAACAGGAUGUAGCCCUUUCCCUGCGACUGUGACCCAUGGCCGAGUUGUACUUCAUUCCCCUUGGUGAGGAAAAGGGGAUGCCAAAGGGCAGAGGAGGUGCCGUGGCUAAGAACAGUCCGUGGCUGACCACUUUCUUGGAGGUCACUGUGCCUGCAACGGCUUCAGAAGCGCUGUUAAAAUUCUGGCUCUCAAACCACACUUUGUGCUCCAAGAAACACACUGCUGCAGAGUCACCGUUCAGCAGCUUUGUGUUGUGCUCACUAACUCUAACUGACUUAUUCCACAGUGAACCCAAUGAGCAGCAGACGUCUGUGUUCCUGAGUUCUGCCCUGGCAGAAAGGUCUUGACUGGGAAUCAAACACUCCCAGGUGGCUUGAAGACUUCGUUCAUCUCCUUCCUUCCCCUCUGCACACUGAGCCCCUCUGUCUGUCCCAGGGUCACUGUAUACAAGGAACGACCCGCUAGUCCCUAGCUUACAUCCUCCCCUCUGACGGGUCAGUGUCAAAACAGCAGCGAAGAGUCACAGGACACGGUCAAAGUCAAGGACCCUGAACGUAGGCCAAGGUUUAAGGACAAUGAUGCUUGGGAAGGAAUUCAGUAGGGUUAACAGUGGUCACCCAAGCUGGGCGUGGUAGUGGACCCGUAUAAUCUUCACCACUCAGGAGGCUGAGGGGUGAAGAUUGCUGUGAAUUCCAAACCAGCCUAGGCUCCUUAGUGAGUUCAAGGCCAGUCUGAGCUGCAUACAAAGUGAAACCCUGUCUCAAAAAAUGAAAAGGAAAAUAAAGCAGAUAUUAUUCACCCUAUUUGGAAGGCACAAUUCCUGGUAGAUGCUAAGGUAAAAGACGAGCUUUAUUUCAGUUCAAAUGAUGGAAGAAACAAAGACCUCUCAUUCACAGGUGUGGCUGGUGGGCCAUACCUAGCAGGCCUUGUGUCUGCAUUUCAAAGUCCAAAUCAAAGUUUUUAAAUGUUCCUUCCUAGCAGGUGUCUCCCCAUUCCAAGGGUUCUUAAGGACAAAUCUAGAACAUGAUCAAAAGCCAUGACUUCUUCAAAGCUGCAUACUAUUCACUGUUGCUUUUGUUAAUUGCUGUGCCCAGGUAGGGCCAAGGGGAGAGGAAAUGCUUGCGCUGGAGGGGCUGUGGGCAAGGAGAGGGGCAGAGAGAGCUCCUCUGCUGUCCUGGGCUCAGAGCUGCCCAUGAGGAGACUCCAACUCAGGUAAAAGCCAACCUGAGCGGCCUCGGCAAACACACAAGAUGGACCGAGGUGUCCUCAGAAACAGCAAACCUGGCAAAUAGGAAAUGAACUCUGGACACCGUGGAUUAAGUGAAAGCUUUGGAAGCUUGGUGUUUGGAUGCGGUUUGGUCACAACUCAGCCUGUGACAGCUGCCCAGUCACAGAUCCAUCCAUACCGCCCUCUCUGGGACCC
ensembl:lincRNA